rnacentral:misc_RNA from 1 species
GCUCAAUAAGUAUCUCGAUUUCUCUAUCCACAGGUAUUUUGUGGACAAGCUUAUUAAUAUCUGAAUUAUUUGUUAACAAUCUUGUACUUGUCUCGAAAUAAGGUUCAAAUUUAAACCAAAAUUUUAGGAUUCUAUCAUCAACAUUCAACUUCUUGACACAUAAUCUCAUCUGAAUAAUAGAGUUUUCCUCGCCCUUACAUUAGGCAUAAUAAUAUAUUCGUCCGCCAACAUAAUUCAUCUCA